rnacentral:rRNA from 1 species
AGCUUGCUGGGUGGAUUAGUGGCGAACGGGUGAGUAACACGUGAGUAACCUGCCCUUAACUCUGGGAUAAGCCUGGGAAACUGGGUCUAAUACCGGAUAGGAGCGUCCACCGCAUGGUGGGUGUUGGAAAGAUUUAUCGGUUUUGGAUGGACUCGCGGCCUAUCAGCUUGUUGGUGAGGUAAUGGCUCACCAAGGCGACGACGGGUAGCCGGCCUGAGAGGGUGACCGGCCACACUGGGACUGAGACACGGCCCAGACUCCUACGGGAGGCAGCAGUGGGGAAUAUUGCACAAUGGGCGAAAGCCUGAUGCAGCGACGCCGCGUGAGGGAUGACGGCCUUCGGGUUGUAAACCUCUUUCAGUAGGGAAGAAGCGAAAGUGACGGUACCUGCAGAAGAAGCACCGGCUAACUACGUGCCAGCAGCCGCGGUAAUACGUAGGGUGCGAGCGUUAUCCGGAAUUAUUGGGCGUAAAGAGCUCGUAGGCGGUUUGUCGCGUCUGUCGUGAAAGUCCGGGGCUUAACCCCGGAUCUGCGGUGGGUACGGGCAGACUAGAGUGCAGUAGGGGAGACUGGAAUUCCUGGUGUAGCGGUGGAAUGCGCAGAUAUCAGGAGGAACACCGAUGGCGAAGGCAGGUCUCUGGGCUGUAACUGACGCUGAGGAGCGAAAGCAUGGGGAGCGAACAGGAUUAGAUACCCUGGUAGUCCAUGCCGUAACGUUGGGCACUAGGUGUGGGGACCUUCCACGGUUUCCGCGCCGCAGCUAACGCAUUAAGUGCCCGCCUGGGGAGUACGGCCGCAAGGCUAAACUCAAG